rnacentral:rRNA from 1 species
GAUGAACGCUGGCGGCGUGCCUAACACAUGCAAGUCGAGCGAUCUCUUCGGAGAGAGCGGCGGACGGGUGAGUAACGCGUGGGUAACCUGCCCUGUACACACGGAUAACAUACCGAAAGGUAUGCUAAUACGGGAUAAAAUAUGAAAGUCACAUGACUUUUGUAUCAAAGAUUUAUCGGUACAGGAUGGACCCGCGUCUGAUUAGCUAGUUGGUAAGGUAAUGGCUUACCAAGGCGACGAUCAGUAGCCGACCUGAGAGGGUGAUCGGCCACACUGGAACUGAGACACGGUCCAGACUCCUACGGGAGGCAGCAGUGGGGAAUAUUGCACAAUGGGCGAAAGCCUGAUGCAGCAACGCCGCGUGAGCGAUGAAGGCCUUCGGGUCGUAAAGCUCUGUCCUCAAGGAAGAUAAUGACGGUACUUGAGGAGGAAGCCCCGGCUAACUACGUGCCAGCAGCCGCAGUAAGAC